UCUAAAACAUAUAUUAUAGGGCCAUGCUAACCGCAACCGACUCAUUUGUGAAUGGUGAUUAAAGGUGAACCAAGGGGGUUAAAAGAAAUUAAAGUUCAAUUACUGCGUUUACAACAUUUGAGUGCACUUACAAAAUUUAUGUACUUUUUCAUUUAUUUCUAUAUAUUUGACUGUGUUUCCUCUGGGCUGAUGCUAAUUAUUUAGUCAUAUUAAAAGUUAUUUUGUCGUUAAUUAGUCAAUUUUUAAGUCCAGGAAUAAAUUGUAAAAAUGAAUAUAAUAUUUCAAUUUGUCAGUAUUAAGUUUUCAUAUUAUCCCACUAUACCUUAAAUGCCCUUAGCUCAAAUGAACUAACCCAAAUUUUGGUGGAGGGUUGUUCCUCUCUUCCAAAGACUUGUAACUCAAGGAAAUCUCAAGCAGAGCCUAAAGACGUAGGACCUUUAUCAUGCUUCCUGGCUGACUGAAAGGUAAUUUUAUAUUUAUUUGGUUGGUUUUUGUUUCCUCCCAACCACCCCCCCCACAUAUAUAUCCUAGUAAUUACCUGUGUUUACACACGGGCACUACAAAAAAAAAAAUAAUUUUUUUUUAUCCAAUUUUGAUGAUUCUUCUAGAAGAAUAAAAAUAAAAAUAAAUAAAUAAAAAACAAUAACAAAAAGGUAGCUCUCAGUAAGUAACUUUCUCAGAAAAAACAACUAAUCUUAAACUAACUAAUCUAAUAUAAAACACAUAAGAGAACUUGUAUUUUCCACCCCUGAACAUCCCAAACCCCUCGAUUGUGACUUUUUUGGGACUUUUAAUUUGUACCUUCAAUCUCCUCAAAUUACAAUUGUGACAUUUCAACCAUUUUAUUUUUUAAUACCCUUUAUUUUUUUUAUUUUACUUUUAUACAUGAAUUUUUAUUACAAAAAAAAUUAUGAUUAAACUUUAUAACUUCUUUAUUUUUUUUCUUUUAAUACCCCAGUGAUUUUUGUUUUUUCUUUUACUUCAUUUUUAAAUUUUUAUAACCCUUUAGUUUAUAAUUUUUUUUACUCUCACCUUAUGUGUUUUUUAUAAUAAAAAAAACUAUGGAUUAAAAAUAAAAUUUUUAUAUAUUUUUAAAAAUUUGAUGGGGUUGAUAGUUAUAUGUUUUUGUUAUUUGAGGACUAUCUAGAAAAUUAAUAAGGUAUUUUUAGUAGUUUGAUUUACAUAAAAACACAUUAGAAAAUUAAUAAUUUUUAAGUAUCAAUACAGUAAGUAGUAAAUUCAAACAUUGCAUUAAAUUCAGAACAUAAUUUUCAUUAAUAUCUCAUUCCAAAAGAAAAUAAUUUUUUUAUAAUUUUUUUUAUAUAAAAAUUCAGAAUGAAAGUAAAAAAAUAAAGUAAAAGAAAUAAGGGGUAUUUAAUAGAAAAAGGAAAAAUAAAGGGGUUAUAAAAUUUUAUAUAAAAAAUUCGAAAGUGAAAAUAAAAAAAAUAAAAUAAAGGGAUAUUACAAAAAGUAUUAAAAUCAUUGAAUAUGAAAGUGAUUCGGAGGAGAGAGGGGAGAAGAGAGAGUGAGAGUUAUGAUGGAGAGAGAAGGAAAAGUGAUGGGCUGAGAGCGCGUGUGAAGUAAUAUGUUUGGGCGGGGAAAAAAAAUACAUUUGAGGUUGAAAUGUAAGCGUUAGAUCAACUCAAAUUGAUUGCAGCCGCGUAGAUUAGCGAGGAGAUAGAUUUGGAUUCAAACGUAGUUUGUGGAUUUGUAUUUUAUACUAGUAUUGCCCGUGCCACGGGGCACUAUGCAAAAAAAAAUUAAAAAUCUCUUUUUAUCAAUUUUGAUGAUUGUUCAUCACAGAAGACACCAAAAUAAAAAUAAAAAGAAAAGAAAAUAAAAAACAAGCACAAAUAAGGUAAGGGGCAGGAACUUCGCAGAACACUUUAAAAAAAGUAAGUCUAAACUAAUUAAUAUAAUCUAAAACUAAAUAUAAGAAAGCUUUAUUGUUUUUUUGUGUGUUGUUUCCUUAUCCUGUAUCUCACCCCAUCGAUGUGACAUUUUUUUUUUGUACUUUUAAUUUUUACCUAAAUUCUUUCUCAAAUUAUUAAUGUGCCAUUAAACCAUUUUAUUAUUUUUUUAAUACCCUUUAUUUUUUUUUAAUACCAUUUUAUUUCUUUUUUUUUUUUACUUUCACUUCUUCAUUUUAUAUAUAAAAAUUAUGAUUAAAUUUUUGAAUCCUUUAUUUUUUUUCUUUUAAGAACCCCUUAUUCUUGUUUUUUUUUUUUUUACUUUCACUUCUAAUUUUAUUAAAAAAAUUAUAAUAAAAUUUUAUAAUUUUUUUACUCCCACCUUAUGUUUUUUAUAAAAGAAAAAAAAUAUGGAUCAAAAUUUUUAAUACUUUUUAAAACAAUUGAUAGUUGAUAGUUAUCUGUUAUUUGUUUUUGAGACUAGCCUUGAAAGUAAAAUGUUUUUUUUAGUUUUUUAGUAGUUUGAUUUAUUAUAAAAUAUAUAAGAAAAAUAUAACUUUAACGUUUCAGUAUUAAAUUCAAUAUUACCACAAUAAGAAUAUAUUUCUCAUUAAUAUCUCCUCCCAAAAGAAAAUUAUAAUUUUUUUUUUAAAUUUUUUUUAAUAUAAAAUUCAAAAGAAAAUAAAAAAAAUAAAAGAAUUAUGGGUAUUAAAAGAAUAAGAAAUAAGGGUUAUAAAAUUUUAAUAAAAAAAUAUAUAAAAAAAUUUAAAAGUGAAAGUAAAAGAAUAAAGAGAUAUUAAAAAAUAUAAAGGGGUUGAAUUGAAAGUGAUGGGAAGAGAGAGAAGAGAGUUAUGAUGGAGAGAGCAGUGAAAGUGAUGGGAGGAAAGAGAGUGAAAGUGUAUUUUGGGCGAGAAAAAAUAAUUGAGGUAAAACUUGAGCCGUUAGAUCAACUCAAAUUGUGUUUCGCCGUAGAUAACGAGAGAUAAUUUUGAUUCAAACGUAGUUGUGAUUUGUAUUCUAUAUAUAAUAUAUAAUAUAUAUAUAUAUAUUAUAUUAUGUUUAGUUGCAUAUAUUUUAAAUUAUAAUUAUAUUUUUUAUGUCUAUGAGUGUUGCAUCUUAAAUCUCCUAUUAAUAAUAGGCUAAUAGCUUUCCUAAGUGUUAUCUCCAAAUCUAACUUAUGAGGAGUUGGUUUUUAAAGAUAAAAUUUUCAUGGAUCAAGUCCUCUUUAACAAAUUUUCUUUUUCACUUGUCCAAAGCUUAAAGUAAUCACGAUGCUUUCUAUUUUAGAAUUAGUCAAUAAUAUUAUACUAUGGAUAUUCUCAAUGACGAAAAGGAUCCACGGAACUUUAGAAUAAUUGGAUAAGGUAACUGGAUGCGGUGAAAAUCUCACAACAAAGAAUAGUAAUUCUUUGAUCCAAACUCUAUCUAUACCUUAAUUCCCCAAUCAACAUAUUCAUUGAACAACUCUUACGAUAACACUAUUCCAAAGUAAAAUAUAUGUAUAGAGAAAAUCUCACACGCAAAGUCUCUAUUGGCAAUCACUAUAUCCUUCAAGAAGAAGUAUUCUAUGAUAUUUUUUUUUGUAAAUACCAUAAUGUUUGGAACCAAAUUAAUAUUAUGAUUACCAUGAAAAUCAAUGAUAGUUAGUCUACUUGCUAGUAAACCUCCUAAAUACUCAAUUUUUAGAUCCGCCGUAAAACCGCCAUUCACAUUUCUCAAAACAAUGGCGACUGGUGAAAGAACUAUUUCUUUAGUAGUUUUAUUAAUUUUUUAGUCUCAUUUUAUCACAUGCAAUUUAGAGCCAAAAUUAGCAAUUUCAUCCACAAUAGGCUACUAAUCACCACUCGUAUAGGCACAUUGAGUAAAAACUGUAUCAUUUUGAAUACCCUUAAUUUUUAAAAUAUAUGCAUAGGUUUAUAAUGAUAUGAUUAAUCCACUAUUUGUAUCCCCUAGCUUAUAGCAUUGAUACCCAACCUGUUUAAUUUGCACACCAGCUAAUCUAAUGCCCGCAACUCAUCCACUAUCCACAAUUAGCCCACAACUAGAAAAAACCCUGAAUCAAAUAACGAUAAACCCAAUUAAAUAUUAUAAUUUUUAGAGGCUUGACAAACGAGACAAAAGAAGAAUUAAGGUAAUCAAGCAAACGUCAAUCUCUUUCUCUCACCCCACCCCACCCCACCCCCCCCCAAAAAAGUAAUGAUAACUAAAAGGACCUUGGACAAUCAGGUCAAUCCUCUCAUUUUUCAUUUAAGUAUAAAAUCAGAUAAUGAAUUCUUUUUUUUACUUUUUUGGAGGGAGGUGGGUCCCAUUGUGAUGAACAGCAGUCAUUACACAAUAGAAACACAAUUAAAAUUUUUUUGUAGAGCGGAUGAAAUACGUUGUCCAUUUGAAAAUAAAAAAUAUUUGCCAUGAGAUUAAGUCUGAGUCGGGAGGCCACCCUUUUGUCCUUUAAUAAAACAUCUAAAAAGUUUGCAAAUAGUCAAAUGGUCUGCAGACAGAAUACAUGUAAAAUUUAUAUAUUCCACUCUAUAGCCUCUUAAAACCUAACAAUCUCAAUAGGCAUCAUUUGGUUUUAGAAAUUCUUCAUUUUGCAUCUAAUCAAACUUCAAAUUAUGCUAAUUUUUCAUGUUACAAAUUCACAGUUGUAGCACAGCUGUCCGCACAACCUGUUUGUGAUUUUGGGCAAGUGCCUUUAUUGGUUCCAUUUCUAAACACAUCAUUAUGCCAAAAUUUUCUCGAAGAAGUUGAAAAAAAACCUGAUAAGAAAGCUCUGAAUUGGGAAACGAAGGAUGAUAUUGAUGUACAACUUGAACGAGAAAAUCCACAUAAAACUCCAACCAAAGAAUGCGAAGACUGGAUAAAGAAUGUGUGAGAUGAAAAAAUAUACCGAUCAUAACGUCAGAGUUCAAAAUGGAGAAGAAAUGCCUCAGAGUAUUAAUGUCCUGAUAUUUUUGCACGUAUGAAGCUUUGUGAACGAGUGGUAAAUAUGAUCUGUGAGGUUGAAGACCUCUAAGAAGUCUAAAUUUGAAAAUGGCUUUCCUCACUGCAUUCACACCCCAACCACUUAAAAUUGAGAAGAAGCUAGUUCCA
rnacentral:lncRNA from 1 species